rnacentral:rRNA from 1 species
GGGACCAUCCUCCAAGGCUAAAUACUCCUAACUGACCGAUAGUGAACCAGUACCGUGAGGGAAAGGCGAAAAGAACCCCUGUGAGGGGAGUGAAAUAGAACCUGAAACCGUAUACGUACAAGCAGUGGGAGCCCCAUCACUAAGUGCCUUUAGUGAGAGGCUUCACCAAGAGCUUGUUGUUUGACAGCGAGUAACAUUGGCCUGCGCAAGCAGCCAAUGGUCAACCGCGCCAAUCAAGCAGCAGGGUACUUAGUGAUGGGGUGACUGCGUACCUUUUGUAUAAUGGGUCAGCGACUUAUAUUUAGUAGCAAGGUUAAGUGAAUAACGGAGCCGUAGCGAAAGCGAGUGUUAAC